rnacentral:rRNA from 1 species
GACGAACGCUGGCGGCGUGCCUAAUACAUGCAAGUCGAACGCUGAAGCUUGGUGCUUGCACCGAGCGGGUGAGUUGCGAACGGGUGAGUAACGCGUAGGUAACCUGCCUGGUAGCGGGGGAUAACUAUUGGAAACGAUAGCUAAUACCGCAUAAGAGUAGAUGUUGCAUGACAUUUGCUUAAAAGGUGCAAUUGCAUCACUACCAGAUGGACCUGCGUUGUAUUAGCUAGUUGGUGAGGUAACGGCUCACCAAGGCAACGAUACAUAGCCGACCUGAGAGGGUGAUCGGCCACACUGGGAGUGAGACACGGCCCAGACUGCUACGGGAGGGAGCAGUAGGGAAUCGUCGGCAAUGGACGGAAGUCUGACCGAGCAACGCCGCGUGAGUGAAGAAGGUUGUCGGAUCGUAAAGCUCUGUUGUAAGAGAAGAACGAGUGUGAGAGUGGAAAGUUCACACUGUGACGGUAUCUUACCAGAAAGGGACGGCUAACUACGUG